AUUUUUUCCGAUUUAUCCCUUUCAUCAAAAUCCAUUCAUUUGCCAAAUCUCCAAACUUUCUUCAUCUUCCAUUUUUCUCAAAUCCAUUCAACUGCUGCAAUUCUCAGGUGCAAUUUGAUCGCUCAUUCCGGAAUUGAAGAUUGACGCAUCGUUGCCUUUCAGUGAUCUUCCCAGCCCGUUAUACUUGAAGUUGAAGAAGAAUUGGUCGCAACUCAUUUAACAGAAAAUUUGACUGCUACAUUUGGUCCCUGCACUAUCUUUUUGAAAAGUUAGUUUGAAGAGAGGGCCCAAUACUCUUAUUGAUAUUAUUAUACUGUUGCAAAUAUACUCUACAUCAACUACUAAAGACAUUUCUCCUACUUCAACAGAAAGCCUCAAAUGUCACAAAAUUACAACGGUAAUAAAGAUAGUCAAGAUGAUUGCCGCCAACAUAGUAAUGGAUUACUUUGUCUUUUGCGACGACUUCUGUAAAUCUGUAAAUACAUACAUAGACGGUGAAAUCUUGAACAUAACAUAUAUACAAUGUGUAUCCAUGUAUUAGCAGUUUUUCUAUGAAACAAACUUCAACUGCUUUACUGAUUUA